GAUGAACGCUGGCGGCGUGCCUAAUACAUGCAAGUCGAACGAAACUUCUUUAUUACCGCGUGCUUGCACUCACCGAUAAAGAGUUGAGUGGCGAACGGGUGAGUAACACGUGGGCAACCUGCCCAAAAGAGGGGGAUAACACUUGGAAACAGGUGCUAAUACCGCAUAACCAUAUUUACCGCAUGGUAACUAUGUAAAAGGUGGCUAUACUACCGCUUUUGGAUGGGCCCGCGGCGCAUUAGCUAGUUGGUAGGGUAAAGGCUUACCAAGGCAAUGAUGCGUAGCCGAAUUGAGAGGUUGAUCGGCCACAUUGGGACUGAGACACGGCCCAAACUCCUACGGGAGGCAGCAGUAGGGAAUCUUCCACAAUGGGCGAAAGCCUGAUGGAGCAACGCCGCGUGGGUGAAGAAGGUCUUCGGAUCGUAAAACCCUGUUGUUAGAGAAGAAAGUGCGUGAGAGUAACUGUUCACGUUUCGACGGUAUCUAACCAGAAAGCCACUGCUAACUACGUG
rnacentral:rRNA from 1 species